rnacentral:rRNA from 1 species
GAUGAACGCUGGCGGCGUGCUUAACACAUGCAAGUCGAACGAUUAACCCGCCUUCGGGCGGUCAUAGAGUGGCGAACGGGUGAGUAACACGUGACCAACCUGCCUCGCACAUCGGGAUAACUGCCGGAAACGGCAGCUAAUACCGGAUACUAUCCCCCUUCCGCAUGGGAGGAGGAUGAAAGCUUUCGCGGUGCGAGAUGGGGUCGCGGCCCAUCAGGUAGUAGGUGGGGCAGCAGCCCACCUAGCCUACGACGGGUAGCCGGACUGAGAGGUCGAUCGGCCACAUUGGGACUGAGAUACGGCCCAG